rnacentral:rRNA from 1 species
UACGUAGGGUGCAAGCGUUAAUCGGAAUUACUGGGCGUAAAGCGUGCGCAGGCGGUUAUGUAAGACAGAUGUGAAAUGCCCGGGCUUAACCUGGGGACUGCAUUUGUGACUGCAUGGCUAGAGUUUGGCAGAGGGGGGUAGAAUUCCACGUGUAGCAGUGAAAUGCGUAGAUAUGUGGAGGAACACCGAUGGCGAAGGCAGCCCCCUGGGUCAAGACUGACGCUCAUGCACGAAAGCGUGGGGAGCAAACAGG